rnacentral:misc_RNA from 1 species
AAAUGCGAUAAGUAAUGUGAAUUACAGAAUUCAGUGAAUCAUCGAAUCUUUGAACGCACCUUGCGCUCCUUGGUAUUCCUUGGAGCAUGCCUGUUUGAGUAUCAUGAAAUCUUCAAAGUAAAUCUUUUGUUAACUCAAUUGGUUUCUACUUUGGUAUUGGAGGUCUUUGCAGCUUCACACCUGCUCCUCUUUGUUCAUUAGCUGGAUCUCAGUGUUAUGCUUGGUUCCACUCGGCGUGAUAAGUUAUCUAUCGCUGAGGACACUGUAAAAGGUGGCCAAGGUAAAUGCAGAUGAACCGCUUCUAAUAGUCCAUUGACUUGGACAAUACUUUUAUGAUCUGAUCUCAAAUCAGGUAGGACUACCCGCUGAACUUAAGC